GGUAAAGUGGCCGAGUAGGCGGUGGAUUGUAGUCCCACAAACGAAGGUUUAAGUCCUUCCUUUAUCA
rnacentral:tRNA from 1 species